AAUAAAAUAUACAAAUGUUAAUGACCAACUAAUAUGCAUGAAAGGAAACAAAUAGCUAGAAACGGUUGCUAAUACCUCGUAGCUUGAGAAGCAAAAAGAGGAAUUUAUUCAAGGAAGAGUUCGCGUCUGAUUACUUAGUUAGUGAGGCAAUAACUUGCCAAGAUGAUAAUCAAUAGCUGAUCAAGAGGAUGAUUAACUACACUAGAACUGAGACAUGAUCUAGACUCCAGGAGGUGGCAAUUAAAUUUGUAAUGGACGAAAGUCCGACAGAG
rnacentral:ncRNA from 1 species